CGGCGUGCUUAACACAUGCAAGUCGAACGGAAAGGCCCUGCUUUUGUGGGGUGCUCGAGUGGCGAACGGGUGAGUAACACGUGAGUAACCUGCCCUUGACUUUGGGAUAACUUCAGGAAACUGGGGCUAAUACCGGAUAGGAGCUCCUGCUGCAUGGUGGGGGUUGGAAAGUUUCGGCGGUUGGGGAUGGACUCGCGGCUUAUCAGCUUGUUGGUGGGGUAGUGGCUUACCAAGGCUUUGACGGGUAGCCGGCCUGAGAGGGUGACCGGCCACAUUGGGACUGAGAUACGGCCCAGACUCCUACGGGAGGCAGCAGUGGGGAAUAUUGCACAAUGGGCGGAAGCCUGAUGCAGCAACGCCGCGUGCGGGAUGACGGCCUUCGGGUUGUAAACCGCUUUCGCCUGUGACGAAGCGUGAGUGACGGUAAUGGGUAAAGAAGCACCGGCUAACUACGUGCCAGCAGCCGCGGUGAUACGUAGGGUGCGAGCGUUGUCCGGAUUUAUUGGGCGUAAAGGGCUCGUAGGUGGUUGAUCGCGUCGGAAGUGUAAUCUUGGGGCUUAACCCUGAGCGUGCUUUCGAUACGGGUUGACUUGAGGAAGGUAGGGGAGAAUGGAAUUCCUGGUGGAGCGGUGGAAUGCGCAGAUAUCAGGAGGAACACCAGUGGCGAAGGCGGUUCUCUGGGCCUUUCCCUGACGCUGAGGAGCGAAAGCGUGGGGAGCGAACAGGCUUAGAUACCCUGGUAGUCCACGCUGUAAACGGUGGGUACUAGGUGUGGGGUCCAUUCCACGGGUUCCGCGCCGUAGCUAACGCUUUAAGUACCCCGCCUGGGGAGUACGGCCGCAAGGCUAAAACUCAAAGGAAUUGACGGGGCCCCGCACAAGCGGCGGAGCAUGCGGAUUAAUUCGAUGCAACGCGUAGAACCUUACCUGGGUUUGACAUGGAUCGGGAGUGCUCAGAGAUGGGUGUGCCUCUUUUGGGGUCGGUUCACAGGUGGUGCAUGGCUGUCGUCAGCUCGUGUCGUGAGAUGUUGGGUUAAGUCCCGCAACGAGCGCAACCCUUGUUCACUGUUGCCAGCACGUUAUGGUGGGGACUCAGUGGAGACCGCCGGGGUCAACUCGGAGGAAGGUGGGGAUGACGUCAAGUCAUCAUGCCCCUUAUGUCCAGGGCUUCACGCAUGCUACAAUGGCUGGUACAGAGAGUGGCGAGCCUGUGAAGGUGAGCGAAUCUCGGAAAGCCGGUCUCAGUUCGGAUUGGGGUCUGCAACUCGACCUCAUGAAGUCGGAGUCGCUAGUAAUCGCAGAUCAGCAACGCUGCGGUGAAUACGUUCCCGGGGCUUGUACACACCGCCCGUCAAGUCAUGAAAGUUGGUAACACCCGAAGCCGGUGGCCUAACCGUUGUGGGGGAGCCGUCGAAGGUGGGACUGGUGAUUAGG
rnacentral:rRNA from 1 species